CUCUGGACAGAAGCGGUUUCUGUU
rnacentral:miRNA from 8 species